GGCUCUCUGACCAGGCUGCUCCUCCCUGGGAGGGAAUGCAAGGAACCCAAAGAAACUCAAGCAUGCAGGGCUUUAAGGGUCCCCAGGAGUCUGGCUGGCAGUAUCCUAAUCACCUGGGACAUCAGGUUCAAACAAACAACCUCCCGGGUGGGUCCUAGUCCCAGAGACUAGGGGGGGUGGCUGAGAACGGAUGAGCCAGAGGGUGAGGGCAGGUGCCGAGUCAGGCUUCGGAUCUCACCCCUGCUUCCCGAGUCUGAGGGUGGAAGUCUGCGUCCUUAACAAACACUCCAGGAGGUGUUGUUACAAUAACAUGACCCAGGCAGUCUGGCUCCAGAGCCUGUGUGCGGAGACUCCUGCUGAAGCUGGGUUUGGAGGGCAGGAUGGAGCAUGUGCUACACACACUAUGCUGAGCUCAGCCUCCCAAGGAACACUUCAGCCCAUCUCCAAUUCACUAUGACCAUCCUCUUGUUCACAGGAGGAAGGCUGAGGCUUCGGGAGGACAGGGGACAGCACAGGCCUCAGCUAUUAAACGGUAAACUGGGGACUGAACCUAUUCUUUUCCCCACAGCAUCCGAAAGUUGGACAUUACUGCCCAGCCCUCCAUGACCACCAAUGCUCCCAAGGGCCUGAAGACCCCGUGAGACGUGACCCCGCUUCCUUCUCCAGUGUCACCUGACCUGCCCUACUCUGGCCACAAUGACCUGAAUUUGGUCCUCCUUGUCACCUCCAGCCACAGGACCUCUGCACCGGCAGUUUCUGCUGCCUGCGAUGCUCUUCCUACCUUUGCCUAGAGUCCUCCUCCUUGGACCUCUGCUCAGUUUUAUUUCUCCGGGGAAGCCUUCCCUGGCACGGAGCCAGGCCCCCUUGUUAUCCACUCUCAAGGCCCCCUGCCAUGCCCUGCAGCAUUCUCUGGCAAUGUGGAGUGGAACACUGCUGUAUCAUUGCAGACUUCAGCCUCUCUGCUGCUAGGCUGUGAACUUCAUGAGGGCUGGGUCCACGGCCGUCUUGGUCACUGCUCUAUUCCUGGCAUUUCAGGAGGAGGCCUGGUAAAUCCUAAGCAAGUGGCUUCUUCAUGGGUGCUUGCAAAGUUAAGAGGGUGUCUUGUAGAUGUAAGGUGAGACCUCACUCCGAAGGGGAAGCCAGCCCCUGCUCAGAGGACAGGACUCCAGAGCCCCCCAAGCCUGACCUUCAGACCAUUUCUUGGCACCUGCCACGCAUGGGUCAUGUACCACACCGCUUCCUAUGUGUUACUCUUGGAGCUAGUAAUACAAUCUGAGUUCUACAGACGAUGCUACUGAGGUUUAGAUAAGGAGAAAUGACUCACCCAAGGCCACACGAGGUGUGUAAAUGGCUGAGCUUUUCUCACUAUAUUAGGUGUUUGCUGAGACAGGACUUGGGCGAGUUAGGCUUUAGGCCUUUUGGAGAGCGAUAGAAAUGACAAUGACUAAAGGCCACACCAAAACCUGUGAAAGGCAGCCACAGCAGUACUCAGAGGAAAAUCUAUAACUCUAGGUGCAUUUAUUAGAAAACACCAAAGACUUGAAAUAAUUUUAACUUUCAAGUCAAGAAGCCAGAAAAAGAAUAAAACACCAAAAAGUAGAAAGCAAAUAAUGAAGGCAAAAAGCAGAAAUUUGUGAAACAGAAAAUGAAAUAAAUACAAACUUAAUAGAAUUUAAUUCCUGAAAAGAUCUCCUUAUACUUUACAGAUGAAGAGACUGAGGAUCAGAGGAGGGAAAGGACUGCCCUAAUCACACAGCUGGCCAGGAUGUGGCUCCAGGUGCCUCUGUCUCUAAGUCACCAGCACCAGGCUGGGCAAAUGUCCCUGCACAGAGGACCACCUCUCCAGCCAGUAUGGGAGCUCCCAACCGGAUCCUCGAGUCUAGCCCAGGCAGCGGGCUAGGCUGCCACCUGGUGGCCUCUGGGGGAAUGGCUCCGGGCUUGGAAUCUGGACUCUUGAGUCCGUCCCCCAAGCCAGGCCCAGUCAUUCUCGGAGACCUUCUUGUCACGAAAUCAAGCAGGACUUCUGCAACCUGCCCACAGUCCUGCUUUGAACAGAUGGGGGAGUCUGGACUUCCUCCCCCGAGUCCCCUUGGCCUUCAUUUCACCCAGCCUCUCCCACUGCCAGGGGUUCAGAGCCUGGGCUUGGUUUCCACAUGUCACAAUCUGGGAUCCUUGCUCUAGCACAUGCUUGCCAUGUGGCACCUGACUUCCAAUUCCCUUGCCUGCUCAUGAGGACCCUCGGGAAGAACUGAAUGGAGACUGGUGUACGGGAAGGGCCCUGCUUUCCAGUACUCAGCAAGCCCAUCUGCUGGCGGGCUCCUCCUUGUUGCCCCCUCCUCAGGUCUCAAUAAAAGCUCUCAGCCCUCA